GACGUAGGGCGCAAGCGUUGUCCGGAUUUAUUGGGCGUAAAGAGCGUGUAGGCGGCUUUACAGGUCCGUUGUGAAAACUCGAGGCUCAACCUCGAGACGCCGGUGGAAACCGUAAAGCUAGAGUCCGGAAGAGGAGAGUGGAAUUCCUGGUGUAGCGGUGAAAUGCGCAGAUAUCAGGAAGAACACCCGUGGCGAAGGCGGCUCUCUGGGACGGUACUGACGCUGAGACGCGAAAGCGUGGGGAGCGAACAGG
rnacentral:rRNA from 1 species